rnacentral:rRNA from 1 species
UACAGAGGGUGCGAGCGUUUAAUCGGAAUUACUGGGCGUAAAGCGCACGUAGGUGGCGACGUAAGUCGGGUGUGAAAGCCCCGGGCUCAACCUGGGAAUUGCAUUCGAGACUGCAUUGCUGGAGUACGGAAGAGGAGGGCGGAAUUCCCGGCGUAGCGGUGAAAUGCGCAGAUAUCAGGAGGAACACCGGUGGCGAAGGCGGCGUCCUGGACCAACACUGACACUGAUGAGCGAAAGCCAGGGGAGCAAACGGG